rnacentral:rRNA from 1 species
GUUGGCUUAGAAGCAGCCAUCAUUUAAAGAAAGCGUAAUAGCUCACUGGUCGAGUCGGCCUGCGCGGAAGAUGUAACGGGGCUAAACCAUGCACCGAAGCUGCGGCAGCGACACUGUGUGUUGUUGGGUAGGGGAGCGUUCUGUAAGCCUGCGAAGGUGUCCCGUGAGGGAUGCUGGAGGUAUCAGAAGUGCGAAUGCUGACAUAAGUAACGAUAAAGCGGGUGAAAAGCCCGCUCGCCGGAAGACCAAGGGUUCCUGUCCAACGUUAAUCGGGGCAGGGUGAGUCGACCCCUAAGGCGAGGCCGAAAGGCGUAGUCGAUGGGAAACAGGUUAAUAUUCCCGUACUUGGUGUUACUGCGAAGGGGGGACGGAGAAGGCUAUGUUGGCCGGGCGACGGUUGUCCCGGUUUAAGCGUGUAGGCUGGUUUUCCAGGCAAAUCCGGAAAAUCAAGGCUGAGGCGUGACGACGAGGCACUACGGUGCUGAAGCAACAAAUGCCCUGCUUCCAGGAAAAGCCUCUAAGCAUCAGGUAACAUCAAAUCGUACCCCAAACCGACACAGGUGGUCAGGUAGAGA